rnacentral:rRNA from 1 species
GACGAACGCUGGCGGCGUGCCUAAUACAUGCAAGUCGAACGCUGAAGAGAGGAGCUUGCUCUUCUUGGAUGAGUUGCGAACGGGUGAGUAACGCGUAGGUAACCUGCCUGGUAGCGGGGGAUAACUAUUGGAAACGAUAGCUAAUACCGCAUAAAAUGGAUUAUCGCAUGAUAAUCCAUUGAAAGGUGCAAAUGCAUCACUACCAGCUGGACCUGCGUUGUAUUAGCUAGUUGGUGGGGUAACGGCUCACCAAGGCGACGAUACAUAGCCGACCUGAGAGGGUGAUCGGCCACACUGGGACUGAGACACGGCCCAGACUCCUACGGGAGGCAGCAGUAGGGAAUCUUCGGCAAUGGACGGAAGUCUGACCGAGCAACGCCGCGUGAGUGAAGAAGGGUUUCGGAUCGUAAAGCUCUGUUGUAAGAGAAGAACGAGUGUGAGAGUGGAAAGUUCACACUGUGACGGUAGCUUACCAGAAAGGGACGGCUAACUACGUG